GCAGGAUUACCACACCAACGAGUUUCUGAUGUAAUGAGUCCGAGCCCUUCCGCGGCGACGAGUCGAUAACGCUGUCAA